rnacentral:rRNA from 1 species
UACGGAGGAUGCGAGCGUUAUCCGGAUUUAUUGGGUUUAAAGGGUGCGUAGGCGGAUCGUUAAGUCAGUGGUCAAAUUGAGGGGCUCAACCCCUUCCCGCCAUUGAAACUGGCGCUCUUGAGUGGAAGAGAAGUAUGCGGAAUGCGUGGUGUAGCGGUGAAAUGCAUAGAUAUCACGCAGAACCCCGAUUGCGAAGGCAGCACGCCGGCUUCCGACUGACGCUGAAGCACGAAAGCGUGGGGAUCGAACAGG